AAAGGAUUUGUUUCCAUCUUCUUCUCGUGUUGGUGUACAUGCAGGGUAUUGUCUGUGAUGAGAUCAGACUGGAUCAGUCUCCUGCUCAGGUGAAGAGACCAGGAGAGACAGUUAAGAUCUCCUGUAAAAUAUCUGGAUUCACAAUGACAAGCUACUGGAUACACAGGAUCAGACAGAAACCUGGAGGACCCCUGGAGUGGAUUGGGAGAAUGAAUCAGGGCACUUCUCUGAAAGGCCAGUUCACCCUGACUGAGGACAGAUCCAUCAGCACACAGUUCUUGGAGGCCAAGAGUCUGAGAGCAGAGGACACUGCUGUUUACUACUGCGCUCGACAGGCACAGUGA